CUAAGUGUCGCAGUUUUGGUGUGUUCACCCUUUAUUAUGUUUUCUAUUCAGCUUUAAUACAUUUUUUUAUAUAAUUCAUCUUAUAAUGUAAACCAUUACAAUAUAAGCUUCAAACUUUGUCCAAAAUUUAGGAAAAUUCGCCAGACUAGUGAAUUUUUUGGUUGCUAAAAAUGCCGUUGAUAUUUAGUAAUUCUUUUGCGCAACUUGGGAAAUUUUCACUAAUAAAUGUGUGACUCUCCUAUUUUUUAUUUUUUUUUAUUUUUACGUGCAAAAAUUGGUGCGUUGAUUGGUCAUAUUUGAGUGUUUAAGUGAGAAGUUGUCGGACCAGAAGAUAAAAGGAUCUGCCCAACUCAUAGCGCUACCACUACAUGUUUUGCUGCGUGCAACUAUAAAACGAAAAGCGAAUAGCGUCAAAAAGAUUUACAGGUCUACCAUCAAAGAUUCGCAGAUAUCAUUUCUCCUUCAUGUAAUUACGGCCAACGAUGUUGAAAACAGUUUAGAAAAGCUGAAGAGUUCUCUUUACGACCGCGGUGAGAGCUUACAACCAAUUGUUAUUGCAGUUGGUUAGAAUUUAAGUGACUCAAAAUUUUAUGUUUAUUUCGAUGAAAUCAAAUAUGAGCUGCCUUGUUUUUUAAGCGCCUUUGAUACCUGUUUUAAAGUGUUUCAUGUAUUGAAUUUAAAAUACUCUGGCUUAGAGUUUUGGAUGUUCGUUCAAAAAUAUUUUUAUUGUAUACAUUUAAAAGACGACAAGCCAUCUCCUAAUGUACUAUGUUUAAUUAACAACCUAAAAUAAUGGGUUUAUAAGCCUUAAUUAUUAUAUUA